GGGGGUGGCGGCGGCUUACCAUGCAAGUCGAGCGGGGGAAGGUAGCUUGCUACUGGACCUAGCGGCGGACGGGUGAGUAAUGCUUAGGAAUCUGCCUAUUAGUGGGGGACAACAUCUCGAAAGGGAUGCUAAUACCGCAUACGUCCUACGGGAGAAAGCAGGGGAUCUUCGGACCUUGCGCUAAUAGAUGAGCCUAAGUCGGAUUAGCUAGUUGGUGGGGUAAAGGCCUACCAAGGCGACGAUCUGUAGCGGGUCUGAGAGGAUGAUCCGCCACACUGGGACUGAGACACGGCCCAGACUCCUACGGGAGGCAGCAGUGGGGAAUAUUGGACAAUGGGGGGAACCCUGAUCCAGCCAUGCCGCGUGUGUGAAGAAGGCCUUAUGGUUGUAAAGCACUUUAAGCGAGGAGGAGGCUACUUUAGUUAAUACCUAGAGAUAGUGGACGUUACUCGCAGAAUAAGCACCGGCUAACUCUGUGCCAGCAGCCGCGGUAAUACAGAGGGUGCGAGCGUUAAUCGGAUUUACUGGGCGUAAAGCGUGCGUAGGCGGCUUAUUAAGUCGGAUGUGAAAUCCCCGAGCUUAACUUGGGAAUUGCAUUCGAUACUGGUGAGCUAGAGUAUGGGAGAGGAUGGUAGAAUUCCAGGUGUAGCGGUGAAAUGCGUAGAGAUCUGGAGGAAUACCGAUGGCGAAGGCAGCCAUCUGGCCUAAUACUGACGCUGAGGUACGAAAGCAUGGGGAGCAAACAGGAUUAGAUACCCUGGUAGUCCAUGCCGUAAACGAUGUCUACUAGCCGUUGGGGCCUUUGAGGCUUUAGUGGCGCAGCUAACGCGAUAAGUAGACCGCCUGGGGAGUACGGUCGCAAGACUAAAACUCAAAUGAAUUGACGGGGGCCCGCACAAGCGGUGGAGCAUGUGGUUUAAUUCGAUGCAACGCGAAGAACCUUACCUGGCCUUGACUACUAGAAACUUUCCAAAGAUGGAUUGGUGCUUCGGGAUCUAGAACAGGUGCUGCUGGCUGCCUCAGCUCGGGCCGGGAAUGUGGGUAAGUCCCGAACGAGCGAACCUUUUCUUAUUGCCCAUU
rnacentral:rRNA from 1 species